rnacentral:lncRNA from 1 species
CCACCCGCCUACCCCAGAGGGUGGCAGCGAGAGCGACCUUGACGAUAUUGGAGGCGAGAAGGGCGAGGAAUGCACAAAAGUAUCUCUGGAUUAGUACUUUUGUUUGCUUAAAAAAAAAAAAAACUAAAAGGCCAAAAACUAGAGAAUAAUAUAAAAAAUUAGAGAAGAAUGAAGAAGAAGAUGAAUUUGCACUGUUAAAAUUAAAAUACAUUGUUUUAAAAGAACGUUGCACUAUUAUGGACGUAAGUUGCACUCUUUUAAAUAUAAACUAUAUCCUUUAAGAUGAAAGUUACAUUCUUUAAACGAAAGUUAUAAGGUUUCGUUACCAUGAUU